GUUUGCCUGUGAGUGUGUGUGUCAGUGAGUGUGUGUGUCUGCUAGUGAGUGUGUGUGUUUGUGUGUCUGACUGUGUGUGUGUUUGCCAGUGAGUGUGUGUGUGUCUGCUAGUGUGUGUCUGCCACUGAGUGAGUGUGUGUCUGUGUGUGUCAGUGAGUUUGUGUUUCUGUUAGCUAGUGUAUACGUUUCUGUCAGUGAGUGUGUGUGUGUGUAUUUAGAAGGCGGGGCGGGG